rnacentral:rRNA from 1 species
CCUACGGGAGGCUGCAGUAGGGAAUCUUCCACAAUGGGCGAAAGCCUGAUGGAGCAACGCCGCGUGGGUGAAUAAAGUCUUCGGAUCGUAAAACCCUGUUGUUAGAGAAGAAAGUGCGUGAGAUUAACUGACAACGUUUCGACGGUACCUAACCAGAAAGACACGCCGAACUAAGUGCCAGGAGCCGCGGUAAUACGGAGGUGGCAGGCGUUAUACGGAGUUAUUGGGGGUAAAGGAAACGCAGGCGGUCUUGUAAGUCUGAUGUGAAAGCCUUCGGCUUAACCGGGGGAGUGCAUAUGAUACUGGGAGACUUGAGUGAAGAAGGGGAGAGUGGAACUCCAUGUGUAGCGGUGAAAUGCGUAGAUAUAUGGAAGAACACCAGUGGCGAAGGCGGCUCUCUGGUCUGUAACUGACGCUGAGGUUCGAAGGCGUGGGUAGCAAACAGGAUUAGAUACCCGGGUAGUC